rnacentral:rRNA from 1 species
UUCUACCCUUGAUUAUCAUAAUUUGUUGCUUUGGUGGGCCGCGUAAGCACUGGCUCCGGCUGGUUAGUGCCCACCAGAGAACCACAACUCUGUAAUAAAUGUCGUCUGAGUACUAUAAAAUAGUUAAAACUUUCAACAACGGAUCUCUUGGUUCUGGCAUCGAUGAAGAACGCAGCGAAAUGCGAUAAGUAAUGUGAAUUGCAGAAUUCAGUGAAUCAUCGAAUCUUUGAACGCACAUUGCGCCCUCUGGUAUUCCGGAGGGCAUGCCUGUUCGAGCGUCAUAAUGACCAAAUCACCUUACGGUGGACUUGGAGUUGGCCGUUAGGCCUCUCUCAAAAUCAGUGGCGGUGCUAGUAAGCUCUACGCGUAGUAAUUUUCUCGCGACAGUGUCUUAUUAGUCCUUGCCAACAACCCCAAUUUUUUAAAAGGUUGACCUCGGAUCAGGUAGGGAUACCCGCUGAACUUAAGCAUAUCAAUAAGCGG